rnacentral:lncRNA from 1 species
UUGUCGUUGUCGAUAAUUCGAUAAUGAGUUGAAGUACUAUACUUUGUCGUUUGUCGUUAAUACGAUAAAUGAGUUGAAGUAUUGCACUUUGUCAUUCAUUGUGAGAAUUUGAUCUCGGGAAAUUAUCGUAACUGCUGUAUUGAGCAUUAACCCGGUUUUUGUGAAAUUCGUUAAGAUUGAUUUAGGUUUUUCACCAAAACUUAUUCCAUUAUGUUAAAACCACCAGAAAUACUCCCAACUACACCCUUACAAUCAAACAAACUAUUAAAUCAUCAGAAGAUCCAGAAUAAUAAAGUACAUGCUUAAUUAUCGGGAAAAGUAGAAUCAAGAAGUUUGUUAAUUCACUCCUGCAUGCUGAUUUGUAAUUACAAUAGAUUGGAGUAAGGAUUGGAUCCGACACUGAAGGACUUCAAGAAGUGGCUUAUCUUCAAAUUAAGAAAUAUUGUUUUUAUUUAAAAGCUACCUUUGUAAAACUUGGAAUUUAUUCCAUCCAUUUAAAUAAAAUCCGGUGU